GGGAGCUGUAAGCAAGCUUUGAUCCGGAGAUUUCCGAAUGGGGAAACCCACUGCUCGUAAUGGAGCAGUAUCCAUAUCUGAAUUCAUAGGAUAUGAGAAGGCAGACCCGGGGAACUGAAACAUCUAAGUACCCGGAGGAAGAGAAAGCAAAUGCGAUUCCCUGAGUAGCGGCGAGCGAAACGGGAACAGCCCAAACCAAGAGGCUUGCCUCUUGGGGUUGUAGGACACUCUGUACGGAGUU
rnacentral:rRNA from 1 species